CACUCCUGCGGGAGGCAGCAGUGGGGAAUUUUGGACAAUGGGCGAAAGCCUGAUCCAGCAAUGCCGCGUGAGUGAAGAAGGCCUUCGGGUUGUAAAGCUCUUUUGUCAGGGAAGAAACGGUGAGAGCUAAUAUCUCUUGCUAAUGACGGUACCUGAAGAAUAAGCACCGGCUAACUACGUGCCAGCAGCCGCGGUAAUACGUAGGGUGCAAGCGUUAAUCGGAAUUACUGGGCGUAAAGCGUGCGCAGGCGGUUUUGUAAGUCUGAUGUGAAAUCCCCGGGCUCAACCUGGGAAUUGCAUUGGAGACUGCAAGGCUAGAAUCUGGCAGAGGGGGGUAGAAUUCCACGUGUAGCAGUGAAAUGCGUAGAUAUGUGGAGGAACACCGAUGGCGAAGGCAGCCCCCUGGGUCAAGAUUGACGCUCAUGCACGAAAGCGUGGGGAGCAAACAGGAUUAGAAACCCUUGUAGUCCCA
rnacentral:rRNA from 1 species